AUUGAACGCUGGCGGCAUGCUUUACACAUGCAAGUCGGACGGCAGCACAGAGAAGCUUGCUUCUUGGGUGGCGAGUGGCGAACGGGUGAGUAAUAUAUCGGAACGUACCGAGUAAUGGGGGAUAACUAAUCGAAAGAUUAGCUAAUACCGCAUAUUCUCUGAGGAGGAAAGCAGGGGACCUUCGGGCCUUGCGUUAUUCGAGCGGCCGAUAUCUGAUUAGCUAGUUGGUGGGGUUAAGGCCUACCAAGGCGACGAUCAGUAGCGGGUCUGAAAGGAUGAUCGGCCACACUGGGACUGAGACACGGCCCAGACUCCUACGGGAGGCAGCAGUGGGGAAUUUUGGACAAUGGGCGCAAGCCUGAUACAGCCAUGCCGCGUGUCUGAAGAAGGCCUUCGGGUUGUAAAGGACUUUUGUCAGGGAAGAAAAGGCUGUUGCUAAUACCGACAGCUGAUGACGGUACCUGAAGAAUAAGCACCGGCUAACUACGUG
rnacentral:rRNA from 1 species